CGCUCACAAAAAAUAUUUACAAUGGGAAUAUAGUUAAAAUACAAUAAUAUAAAGUACCGCAAUUUCUCGUCUUGGCAGGUGGGAUCCUGGGAACAAAUAGCGGGGUAUCACAUAGGCCAGAUAGAGGUAGAAUCAUUCAUUAUACUGUAAACACUCGAUAGAGUUUAUAUUACAAGAGGUAUCAUAAAACUAGUAUUCCUUUUACAAGUGCUGACAUCUUGUAUAUUCAUUGCCAGCAUACCUAUUACAACCAACUUACAGACAAGGGAAAACUGGUUAAAAUUACUAGAUGGUGAUUAUACGGUAGAAAAUGGAUUUUCCUUUAUAGGCAGAUUUUAUUCCAGAUUUUUGACUUAGAUUAUUCAGUAUCCAUUAGAGUGAGUAGAAGUCAGUGCCAACAACUCACCCCAAGGCAAAGCCUUCCAUUCUGCACCCAAAAGUAUCAAUUAUGAAUAGUGGAUUUUGUUCAUUCAACAUUGGCUGCCAGAAAUGUGAUAAAAGGGCAAUGUGCAUGCGUACAAAGCUAGAUUGUAUUAUGAUUUGUCUUACAAAUGACUAUUAAUACAUUAGGUACUAGAACUCUCCACUUGAGUCUUGACGAGUUAAAUUGUCCCGCGAGUACAAUAAUUUGGCAUUAACCCAUGGAUUGAGUUGCAUUGCGCCCUGAUGCGCCCACUUUAUUAUUUUACUCUGUCUAAUUACAGACGAUUUUACUUGUCAAAGGGAGAGUGCUGGCGCUUAAUGGGUUAAAUACAUUAAUACAAUAAGGAAGUAGACACAUAGGGGCACAAUGCAACUUAAUGAGUAACUAGAUUCAUGGUCAGAUUAACCCAUUAACCGCCAGCAGUUCCACUCACAAAUAAAAUUGUCUGGCAUCAGACAGGAAUACAAUAAAUUAAGGUGCAAUGCAACUUCAUGGGUUAAAAUUUGAAAUCUUGCCUGUGGGACCACGAUUUCUGGGUUGGAAUGUUCUAGCAAUCACUUGGUCUAUGGGUUGUGAAACCAUAGUGAAUCAAAUUUUUCCUGUGAAAACAAAUAAAUAAUUUAUCUGUAGUCAUUCAUUAUGUAGGAUGGAGUUUACAACGUGAUAAAGAAUUUUUGAACAGCAAUAUCGUUUAGAUGCUUUCUAAAAUACAAGGGUGAUGUUGUUGGUACUGUAUUGUGAUCUAAUAUGCUAUUGGCUCAUUCUUGAUUCCAGAAAACAUUCGUACAUUCGUAUGGUUAUGAUUUCACCUCAGUUGUACAUGAGAGCCAUGCUAC